CCCGGGCCGGCGCGAAGAGCCGCCCGGCGGGGGCUGAGCCGCAGAGCUGCAGGCGCGGGCGCAGCAUUCUUCAACCUGGAAACUCCUAGGUGUCAAAGGAUCUUAAGUUCCUAUCAGUCCUUGGCUCCCCCGCCCCGGGGCUGUACCCCGUGCAGACUUGGGAACAUGGUUCCCCUCCCUGCCUGGGCGCUGGCCCUUAGGAAGAUCCCACCUACAGCUUGUACUGACAGGCUUCUGUGGUGCUGGAAGGAGAGCCUGGUCUGCCUCCCUCAUCUCUCUCGUUUACUCUGAUCCUUGAUAUCAACGUGGGAUGGAGCCCAAGACAAAGCAAGCACAUCCUAAAACAAGAAUUGAGGAAUCUUGGGCAACUGAGAAGAGUUUCAAAGGGUGAAGCUGAGAAGCUUUCCUUGAGACCUCAGUGAGGUCUGAGCCCCCAUGGGAGGUCACCACAAGCCCAGACCUGGCCUGUGCCUGUCCACUCACUGACCCGUCAGGCUACAGCAUGAUUGCUCAGGAAAGGUCCCCCGGGGGCCCCAGCACAACGAAGAGAAAGAUGAGUGUUGGGAAGAGGAAUGAAAAUAUCCCAAGCAGCAUUUAUGACCUAGCUACUGAAGAAGAGGAAGGAAUCUGGGGACCAGACUUGUGUCCGGGCCUCUGCCUUCAUGUGCAAUCACACAAAACCUUUCCAGAUAGGAGAUUUCCAGAAGGAAGUACCAGAAUUAUCUUCCUAUCACCCACCACAGUGUCUUAACUCUCACCAUGGUAUCUAUACUAAGUUAAACCCAACUUCCACGUCUGCCUCUUUGUAGAGCCGAAGAACUGUGACUGAUCGUGGUUAGCAUAAUAGUUCUUCCUAUACUGAGAGUCAUCAUCUCCAUGAUAAGUGACUUCAGUCUCCUCUCAGCAUCAAGAGGGCCGAUGUCAUGGCCUGGCAUGAUGGUGCAGAGUAUGCCCUGGGCUAGGCAUCUGAGGACCUGCAUUGCAGUUGAGCUUUUGCUACUAGGCACUUAGAAGACUAGCUAAGUCCGUGGGUCCAGUUUCCUUAUCUGCUAAAUAAGGAAUUGGGUUAGAUAAAUCUCUAAACUGCCCCCUCUCUCUCAUAAGCCAUUACUUCAAGGCAAGUUCCUGGCCUCGAGUCAUUCUCCACAGUGAAUACUGUUUGCUUUCCACCAAAAGCAGGAGGAACAAAUGAAAGAGAACAAGAAAUUCAGAAAAUUUUGUUUUCUCAAGUUUAAGGAGAGAUGGAUCUUUUGACAAAAUUAAGGCUAUUUCAACAUACUAUUAGAUUUUUAAAAUACCGAGUUUAUUAUGCAAGAAACACAUGUUCACUAUAGAAAAUGUAGAUAUAAGUAAGUAAAAAGGAAGGAACUCAAGUUAUCAUACUUCCUAUCAAAGAUAGCCUCAACAUUUUGUGUGUAUAAAUGAGAAAUUUUUCUGUACACAUAUAUAUGCUUUUUAUGAAAACAGGAUCAGAAUAUCCAUUUUGUUUUUCAAGCUGGUCUUGACAUAUUGAAAACAUCUUUCUGUGUUAAUAAAUACACUUACAUAGCAUUGAUUUUAUUUUUUCUUUUUAAAGGUUUUAUUUAUUUAUUCAUGUGAGAAAGAGAGAGAGAGAGAGGCAGAGACACAGGCAGAGGGAGAAGCAGGCUCCAUGUGGGACUCGAUCCCAGGACUCCAGGAUCACACCCUGAGCCUACGAGAUAGCUCGUAGGUUAGCGUGGGCCCAUUUUAUGGAGGAGAAAAUUGAAGGCCAGAGAAGUGAAACAUGUUCAGGUCACAUAAGUCACAGGGGCUGGAUUUUUGCCACCAGGCUUGUCUGGCUGUGUGGCACCUCAACACAGACAAGACCAGGUAAAAGGACUGGAGACCGCUCAGUGGCCUUGGGAAGGAAGCCCCUGGAGACCCCAGAGCACCACCGACUGCAGGUCGGGUCUGCUGGGAGUAGCAUCAGACGCUCAACCGCUGAGCCACCCAGGCUAUUCAAUAGCUAUACAGCUAUUGAUUUUAAUAGCUGUAUAGCAAUCUGCUGUUUGGGUGGAUCUUAAUUUAUUCAACCAAUCUUCUACGACU